AGUGAACGCUGGCGGUAGGCCUAACACAUGCAAGUCGAACGGCAGCACAGUAAGAGCUUGCUCUUACGGGUGGCGAGUGGCGGACGGGUGAGGAAUACAUCGGAAUCUACUUUUUCGUGGGGGAUAACGUAGGGAAACUUACGCUAAUACCGCAUACGACCUACGGGUGAAAGCAGGGGAUCUUCGGACCUUGCGCGAUUGAAUGAGCCGAUGUCGGAUUAGCUAGUUGGCGGGGUAAAGGCCCACCAAGGCGACGAUCCGUAGCUGGUCUGAGAGGAUGAUCAGCCACACUGGAACUGAGACACGGUCCAGACUCCUACGGGAGGCAGCAGUGGGGAAUAUUGGACAUUGGGCGCAAGCCUGAUCCAGCCAUACCGCGUGGGUGAAGAAGGCCUUCGGGUUGUAAAGCCCUUUUGUUGGGAAAGAAAAGCAGCAGGUUAAUACCCCGCUGUUCUGACGGUACCCAAAGAAUAAGCACCGGCUAACUUCGU
rnacentral:rRNA from 1 species